rnacentral:lncRNA from 1 species
UUAGUCUAAUUUCUCAAGCACUAUAAGCAGGGUAGCACUAAUACUAGUACUAGUACUAGUUAGUAACCAAACAUUUAGAGUUUAUACUGAUUUUUUGUAAAUUCCCACUUGUUCUUUGAGUGCUGAUUUUUUGUAAAUUCCCACUUGUUGUCUUGCACCUUCUUUGAGUGCUGAUUUUUUUUUUGUAACUGUAUUGCUAUUUUCAUUGUAAAUUCCCACUUGUUCUUUUCUUUUUUGCUUGUGUAUUUGCCUAAUUUUAAUUACUCUUGUUUAUUUUGAAGGAUUAGAAUUGCAAUCAGUGUAUCCUGCGUGGGAAUCGGAAAAUUGCAGAGGAGCAAGUGCCACGGCUGUAGCUCGUAGUCAUAGGCAAAGUUACUUGGUUGAUUUGUUGUAUCAAUUUGGCAAAAAGGUAUUUUGUUUUACAUCUUUGCUUUGUUUUUCCUUGCCUUACCUUCAUUUCAGCUUGAUUUUUUUUCCCUUGCUUUGUAUCAAUUAAGUGAGUUUUGACAUAUGGUUCAGAAUUUAAGCUGCAUAUGUAGGUGCCCACUAGGGUGGGUAACCUUUUUUUUUGGUCCACCGGUGCUCCAUCAUUAAUCAUCAUUAGAUCUUAGCAUCUUAGAAUAUUCUGUAAUUGAAUGGUCAAGAUUUAAUGAAUGACAAAAGGGUAAAAAUGUAAAUGACC